rnacentral:lncRNA from 1 species
CGACAUAUAAACCCUAAACCCAGAAAUUUAAAAAGUCACUUUUUGACUCCAUUUAGAGGUUAGUUAUGGGGGGAACCAACUUCUAAAGCCCUUUGGAUGUCUAUUAUAAGGGAACUGACUUCUAAAUGUCGGCAUUAAAACACUAUAGCUAAUAUAAAUUAUUCCUGAAUAAUUGAAAUAGCAAUUUAAAUGUUUUCCUUGAGUGGAUUGUUUCGUAAUGUUGAAAAUGUGAUAUACCCU